GUUGGCAGAACUGCAGUUUUAGAUAGUUAUAAUAGGGUCUUUUAGGAUACUUGCAAAUAAUGGGAAAGUCUGUAAUAUCCAGGUAGGUUGGAACAUAAGCAAUAAGGAAACAAAGUCCAGUAUAGAUAUAAAGCAGGUUCGAUGAAAUAAAUCAGUAUGCUUCAAGGUAGUAAGAGUAAAGCAGGUUUUCUUCAAUAAGAGCCAGGAGUUGAAGUCUUGUCAGG